rnacentral:rRNA from 1 species
UGUACCCCCCAUUGUAACACGUGUGUAGCCCCGGACGUAAGGGCCGUGCUGAUUUGACGUCAUCCCCACCUUCCUCACAUCUUACGACGGCAGUCUCUCUAGAGUCCUCAGCAUGACCUGUUAGUAACUAAAGAUAAGGGUUGCGCUCGUUAUGGCACUUAAGCCGACACCUCACGGCACGAGCUGACGACAACCAUGCAGCACCUUCACAUUUGCCUUACGGCUAUACUGUUUCCAAUAUAUUCAAAUGCAAUUUAAGCCCGGGUAAGGUUCCUCGCGUAUCAUCGAAUUAAACCACAUGUUCCUCCGCUUGUGCGGGCCCCCGUCAAUUCCUUUGAGUUUCACCGUUGCCGGCGUACUCCCCAGGUGGAAUACUUAAUGCUUUCGCUUGGCCGCUUACUGUAUAUCGCAAACAGCGAGUAUUCAUCGUUUACUGUGUGGACUACCAGGGUAUCUAAUCCUGUUUGAUACCCACACUUUCGAGCAUCAGUGUCAGUUGCAGUCCAGUGAGCUGCCUUCGCAAUCGGAGUUCUUCGUGAUAUCUAAGCAUUUCACCGCUACACCACGAAUUCCGCCCACCUCUACUGUACUCAAGACAGCCAGUAUCAACUGCAAUUUUACGGUUGAGCCGCAAACUUUCACAACUGACUUAACUGNUCCACCUACGCUCCCUUUAAACCCAAUAAAUCCGGAUAACGCUCGGAUCCUCCGUAUUACCGCGGCUGCUGGCACGGAGUUAGCCGAUCCUUAUUCAUAUGGUACAUACAAAAUUCCACACGUGGAAAACUUUAUUCCCAUAUAAAAGAAGUUUACAACCCAUAGGGCAGUCAUCCUUCACGCUACUUGGCUGGUUCAGGCNCGCGCCCAUUGACCAAUAUUCCUCACUGCUGCCUCCCGUAGGAGUUUGGACCGUGUCUCAGUUCCAAUGUGGGGGACCUUCCUCUCAGAACCCCUAUCCAUCGAAGGNUUGGUGAGCCGUUAC